GGAAUUGGAGCUGAGAGAUUCUAUAAGCCUUGAUCGCACUCCAUUUACACCAUCACGCCAUGAGAAAUGGAAGAGGGUACAUCAAAGAAAAUACAACAAGUUCACGAGGCUACACGCGAAGUGGCUGAAAAUAUUGUAAGUAAAUACUUUUUUCAACAAUAUUUAUUUUAGUUAAACCAAUUUGGAAAAGAUGAAACUUUAUAUGUGUUGUAGAAUGUACUGGUUGAACAAUCCAAAAUCGUUCUCUUUGUUCCAUAAGAUCGUCAUGACAUCUUGG
rnacentral:lncRNA from 1 species